UAAAUAUAUCUGAUGAGUGCAUAGUUCAUCUGAAUACACAUGUAUAAUUGAUGACGAAGCAAUCCAAAAUAGUCUUUCGCUCCUAUCUGAAUUAUUUU
rnacentral:snoRNA from 1 species